rnacentral:lncRNA from 1 species
GAGAAGGAUGAAAACAAAUUCUUUGGCUUAUAUGUUAAUUAGAGAGUGGAAGGCAAAUCCAAGUUAAUUUCUACUUAGAUUUAUGUCCACUGAACUUAGAUCUGUGUGUAUUUGUUCUGCCACAUUUUUGUAUUAUUUUAUUUUUAUUAUUUUAUUUAUUUUGUAUUAUUAUAUUUUGUAUUAUUAUAUUGUUUCUGGUUUACCAUCUGGUAAAUUCUUAUUUCUGGUUUAAGUCAAUUUCUAGAAUAUUCUGUUAAGUUUACCGUUUUCAGUGUAAAAACCUAUAGUGUUGAUGUUAACCAUUUUUAAUAUGUAAACGAUUUUAUGAACUAUUUCCCUUUAAUGCUAAUAAAACUUGUCCAUGAUGUCUGGCUUUGUGGGCUAUGUGAUCUCUGUUACAGCUACUCAGCUCUGCUGUUGUAGUGUGAAAGCAGCCACAGAAAAUAUUUAAAUUAUUCCACUUACUUACAUGAUCAUUUCGAGAGAUGUAAUGUUGAUUGCUGCUGUUUUUUAUGUCAGAUACCGAACUCUUCCAACACCACGAACACUUGCCAAGUAUUUCAAUCCUUGCUAUGCCACUGCUAGGUUAAAACCAACAUUCAUCAGCAAGGUGAAUACAGCAGUCCAGUUAAUCUUGGUGGCAGCUUCUUUGGCAGCUCCAGUUUUCAACUAUGCUGACAGCAUUUAUCUUCAGAUACUAUG